rnacentral:rRNA from 1 species
GAAGUCGGACCGAGCAACGCCGCGUGAGUGAAGAAGGUUUUCGGAUCGUAAAGCUCUGUUGUAAGAGAAGAACGAGUGUGAGAGUGGAAAGUUCACACUGUGACGGUAUCUUACCAGAAAGGGACGGCUAACUACGUGCCAGCAGCCGCGGUAAUACGUAGGUCCCGAGCGUUGUCCGGAUUUAUUGGGCGUAAAGCGAGCGCAGGCGGUUAGAUAAGUCUGAAGUUAAAGGCUGUGGCUUAACCAUAGUACGCUUUGGAAACUGUUUAACUUGAGUGCAAGAGGGGAGAGUGGAAUUCCAUGUGUAGCGGUGAAAUGCGUAGAUAUAUGGAGGAACACCGGUGGCGAAAGUGGCUCUCUGGCUUGUAACUGACGCUGAGGCUCGAAAGCGUGGGGAGCAAACAGGAUUAGAUACCCUGGUAGUCCACGCCGUAAACGAUGAGUGCUAGGUGUUAGACCCUUUCGCGGGGUUUAGUGCCGUAGCUAACGCAUUAAGCACUCCGCCUGGGGAGU